rnacentral:rRNA from 1 species
CACUAGCGUAUACUAAAGUUGUUGCAGUUAAAACGCUCGUAGUUGAAAUUUUGGGCUCAGUCAAGUGUAGCGAUUGCUAUGCUUGAUUGGGCUGAUAUUCCCGCAAGGGAGAGUCACUUUGAGGAAAAUAGAGUGCUCCAAGCAGGCUAUGUUGAAUAGUGCAGCAUAGGAUGACAAGAAAAGACCGCAACCCUUGUUCUGGGUUGUUGGUAAAGAUGAAUAGGAGCGGUUGGGGGCAUUGGUAUUGAGCGCUUAGAGGUGAAAUUCUUGGAGUCGCUCAGGACGAACGAAUGCGAAANCANNNGCCAAGGACGUCUCUGUNGA